CAACUACAUAUUAGUCAGGUGGAUGCAAAAACAUAAAUUCCACAGAAUUAAACCUUAAGACAUCCAACUAUGUGCUUCUUCACAAGUUUUUGCUGCACAAAACCUGUUCCUGAUGUGUGGAAGUGAAUAAACAAUGGACACACUCUAGAGGUAGUAUGAGUCAAGUUUGCCUUAAAAUAUUCAGAGUAUUUAUGACUCUAUUUAGUGUCAUCUGGACAUAAUCGUAUUACCCAGGACUGAUAUUAAUGCUAGGUGCACCUGACUGAAUCAUAUGCAGUAUCUCUGGAAUUACUGCACUCUGAGCUGAGAUUUUUGUUAUUUCUGAACAAAAAAAUAAUUGAUAAAAUGUUGUUGGCCUGUCCAUUCUACAAUUCUCUGGCUUCAAAUGUACCUUUAAACCCUCUAUUCAUCCAUUUUUCUUCACGGUUGAACAUCUUCUCCAAGUUCACAAAACGCAUGUAGCGAACUCCCACACACCCUCCAGGACCCUGCUGAGGGAGCAGAGCUAGUCUAGUGUUCCACAACCAAAGAAAGAAAAUCACACUGCUCUUCUUGAAUCCGAGGUUUGACUAUCUGAUGGACCCUCCUCUCCAGAACCCCUGAAUAGACCUUGCCAGGGAGGCUUAACAGGGUGACUUGGCCCGAUGUCCAUGCAAUAUUGCAGAGUCGUGUCACCCAACACAACCCUACAACAUCCAGAGCCUUAAGGAACUCCAACCGAAUCUCAUCCACCCCCGGGGCCCUGCCACCGAGGAGCUUUUUAACCACUUCGGCAACCUCGUCCCCAGAGAUUGGAGAGCCCAACCCAGAGUCCCCAGUCUCCACUUCCUCAAUGGGAGGCAUGUUGGUGGGAUUGAGGUGGUCUUUGAAAUAUUCUGCCCACCAUCCCACAACGUCCUGAGUCGAGGUCAGCAGCACACCAUCUCCACUAUAAACAGUGUUGGUUCUGUGCUGCUACUGUAAACACUCCAGUAGUACUUUUUUUUUUUUUUAAUGGACACACGGUGUCGCAAACUAGCAGUUUGUCUGACAACUGUUUUCUUUAUUAUUAUGAACCAAGGGGAGGAGGAACCUGGGCCACCUCGCAGCACGGUACCUGUCAUGAGUAUGCUAUUUAUAAAUUUAUUUGGAUGUGUAUUGCACAGUCUAAAGCUGACAUAUAAAUGUAUAAAAAUGUGUGUGUGUAUAUAUAUAUAUAUAUAUAUAUAUAAAGUUGUAUAUCAAGUGAAAAUACUGCUUUUUCUGCUGUGGCCCCAGUGACCUAGAAUUUGACUGCUCAUCUAAGAAAAUUUCCUUUUUCUCUUGUUUCUAGUCUGCAUUUGUCCUUAAAAUUAAAUUAAAUAGCUGUCAUGAGUUGAUUAAAAUCUUAGAAUCUUAUAUAUUAAAAUUAUUUUAAUAUCUUGUGUUUUUGUAUUCACAGAAAAACAAGAAAAGGAAGUGGACGUAUAUGCCAGCCUUUCUGAUGAAAAGGCAUUUGUCUUUUCUGUGGCCUUGGCUGAGAUCAACCGCAAGAUCCUGAGUCAGAGACUUAUCCUAUAGAUUAAGACCAAAGAGUAGAUCAGAACAAGAGUUGAUUUAGGCUUGAGUCACAUUGAAGUGGAUACUUGACUUGGAAUGAAAAGGGUAAGACUUGACUUAAACUUAUCACAAAGGUUUGACCCUUGACAGUGACUUUAAAAAUGACUUCUGAAAAUCUCUGGACCUUCAUAGUUGCGAAAAUCAUUUUACAGGUCAAAAUUGCUUGUGAAAUAACCAAAGACUCCACACCUGGCUGGAGUACAUGCUUCUCCUACAAAAGGGAUCUUCAAAAAAUAAAAAAAGUUAUUGUUUUUCUUAUGGACAACAGUAUACAUGUGGUUUAAAUAUGAAUGUUGUAAUGGCUUGGAUUAUUGUUUGGUAUGCUAGUAGUAAAGGACCACUAACCUCUCAUUUGCUGAAUUUUAUAUCCAAUUCUAUAUAAAACAUUUUUUGUUGAAAAUCAGAUGCUCAGUAGUGUUAAUUUGAAUAUAGAACAUGAAAGAAAGUGUAUGUUUGGCUCUGAUAUAGAUUAGUGACUUGAAAAUUUAUGAAUACAAAUCUUCAGUUAUAAUGCAAUUGAAAUGAAUCACAGAAUAUAUGUUUGAACAAAAAAUGGUUUUUCAUCAUAACUGUAUUUUUAAUGCAUAAAACGUAUUUUAAAAAAAACCCUGUCAGCCCAGUCCUACCGACUGCAAGCCAGAAAAGGAGGCCUCCUUACACCUGGAUCUUCUCCUGGGUCUCCUCACGGUGGGACGUGCCCAGAACACCCCAUCCCUUCAUGAUGCCCAAGCCACCUCAACUGGCUUCUCACGACGUGAAAGUACAGCGGCUCUACUCCGUGUCCCUCCCGGAUGACGGAGCUUCUUGCCCUAUCUCUCAAGGAGAGCCCACAGACCCUACUUGUAUCUGUGAUCUCGUUCUUUGAGCCAAGACCCAAAGCUCAUGACCAUAGAUGAGGGUAGAAAUGAAGAUCGACCGGUAAAUCGAGAGCUUUGCUUUUUAACUCUGCUCUCUCUUCAUCAUGACAGCACCCACUUCAGUGCAGAUGCUGCGUCAAUCCAUCUAUCAAUCUCCCGCUCCAUUUUUUCCCUCAUUCGUGAUCAAGAUCCUGAGUCACUCAAGCUCCUCCACUUGGGCAGGACAUCCUCCCCAACCUGAAGAAAGCACUCUACCCUUUUCCGGCCCAAGAUCAUGGCCUCUGAUGUGGAGACAAUGAACCUCAUCCCGGCCGCUUUACAUUCGGCUGCACACCACUCGAGUGAAGGUCACAGUCUGAUGAAGCCAGUAGGACAACAUAAUCUGCAAAAAGCAGAAACAUGAUCCAAAGACCACCAAAAUGGAUCCCCUCAACACCUCGGCUGGUCCUAGAAAUGUUGUCCAUCAAAGUAAUGAACAGAAUCACCGGUGAGAGAUUUCUGGUGAAAAUCUCUCACCGGAAACGAGCCAGACUGGAGGCAUGUUGGUGACAAUGCGGACCAGUUUCUGACACUGAUCAUACAGGGACCUAACAGCCUGUCUCAAAGGGCCAAUACCCCAUACUCCUGGAGUAACCCCACAGGACUCACCGAGGGACACAAACACCUUCUCCAAGUCCAUAAAACACAUGUAGACUAGAUGGGCAAACUCCCACGCAUCCUCCAGGACUCUGCUGAUGGUGUAGAGCUGGUCCAGUGUUCCACGACCAGGACGAAAACCACACUGCUCUUCCCGAAUCAGAGAUUCAACUAUCCAAUGGACCCUCCUCUCCAGGACCCCUGAAUAGACCUUACCAGGGAGGCUUAAAGGGAACCAUGAUUAGUUAUAAAAAUAGACCUUAUUUGGGAAAUAUUUAUCUUAGAUGUAAAAACAACACAGUAAUAAUACUGUAGGUUAUUUAAUUUUUAGAAAUUUUAAUAAAAUAUUUUCACAGGAAUGCCGCCAUGUUGUUCAAGCUGCAAGGCAUUCUGGGUAAAUGACUAAUGGUCCAACUGCCUGGCUCCUCCAGCCAAAACAGUGAUGAGUAACGUUAUUAAGCCUUUUUAAUUUGAACCAGAGUGCAUUGAAAACAAUCGGAACGUAGAAAUAACAAGAGGUGAUGAAGAUGAGAAGGGCCAAGCAGAGGAAGAGGCAGAGUUAGCCAUAGGAGCUUUUGUUUGCUGCUUCCUUCAGCUUCGUAAAUGAAACAAUGAAUGACAUGUACCUCUGGUCGGACUGUGUGAUCCGGUAAGUGCUUCUAUAAGCUCUGUGUCCGGUUCGGCAACAGCGGUUUAGAGUCUGAACUUUGUUCGGUGUUGGUAGUGGUUUCACAUUCAGUACCGGUGUUCUAACUUCAUUAGCAUUUCCAGUAGUAAUAGUUCCAUUAGCGCUGCUUGUCUUUGACGUUUCUUCCAGCGUCUGUAGGGCUGUGUCCAGUUUGGCAACAUCUGUGUUGCUUAGAGUAUGGUGUGGUGGUAACGGCAACACUAGCUCCCUUUGGUAGCAUGAGAUUGCUGGAGGACCCACAACAUGGUGUAGAAAUGUUAUCCCACACACCUUAUCUUGCAGUGUCAUAAUUACAUUAUGUAUUUCUUGUGGGAUAUACUCUUGAGAAAUUACUCACAUGAGAAUGUUGUGAAGUCCCUUCUUACCUCAAGCAAGCCACUGUAUAAAACCAGCUCACAUAGCACCAACUCAGGUAGGAAUGACUAUGUAGGAGAGCUUGAUGCAGAGGCCAGAAGGGCUACUAUGGUAACAGUUCAAGCAAAUGCUCAUUUUAAAUAUAAGAUUCAUAAAAAGAAAUGGAAAUACUAUGAGGUCUUACUCUCUUGCAAGAAAGUUGAGAAAUAAUGCUUUUGGAAAGAAAUCAAGAAAAUAACUGCAAAAUGUCACUAUCAACUACUAUUGAUGUUGGUGACGUAAAAGAAAUUACUCAGUUAUGACAGGAGCGCUACAAUGCACUGUUUAACUGUGUCAAAAGUAAAAUUUUUGUAGUGAGUUGCAUACAUAGUAGUGAGAAUGACGGGGUUUCCCCAAGAAAACUUAAGCCCGGUGGUCGGGGCACUGAGGCGGUCCACCGGAGUUUUGUAUUAAAAGAUGUUAAGUUGACAGGAAACGUAAAAUAUUACUGGGUAAUUAUGUUACUGGAAGACAUUGCAGACAAUACUUAAACUCACAAUUAUAGAAUCUUAAAAACAAGUCAAAACAAUACAAUUAAAAUAAAUAUCAGUUAUUUGCACUUUAUCAGUUAAAUCCAAAUUAAGUCAUUGGCUAGUGGAUCUAAAACCACAAUGUAAUUCUGAUCACGUUUAGGCAUAAAUGAACUAAGAGAAUACCAAUGCACUUAAAUUUGAUUUAAUGGUUUCAGCAUAGAUAAAUUAAAAGAUUAUAAAUUGUUUAACAUUUAAAUUUAAGAAUUUAAGGAGCUGGCAAGUUUACUUUGUAAAAGUUGAAAGAACAAUCUUCAUAGUUAGAUUAUUUUGGUACCAUAGCCAGGGCCAGACUUAGGAGGGUGUGGGCCCCUGGGCUUAUGCCAAGGUACGGGCCCUACUUAAUCAUCGUUAUACAGAUGAUUAAGUAUAUAUUCCUGAUUUCCUUCCCUUUGGGUGGUCGGUGUUUGGCCGUGACUUGCUUGUGGAGCCGAUCCAAUCCACAAACCUUAUCUACCUAUAAGGUCACAAAAAUCAGCCACUGUCCACCAUGAGAGAGGGCUGAUGGACAGUCCCAACCACCAGGUCAUCUCUCCAUGCAAGAUUUACAACAGUCACUCCAUGAUUGUCAACUUUUUUUUAAUAUUUUGCACACACAUGCACAAAAAAACUUUAGUAAGUCAGAUUUUUAAAGAUCGGCCAGAAAAUUGCAACCGGUGCACCUUUAAUGAAUGUAAAGAUCAUCACUACAAACAAAAUGUACUUAGUAGUUAUUAAAGAAAUACUUGAACAUCUUGAA